rnacentral:rRNA from 1 species
AACGAACGCUGGCGGCAUGCCUAACACAUGCAAGUCGAACGAGACCUUCGGGUCUAGUGGCGCACGGGUGCGUAACGCGUGGUAACCUGCCCUUAGGUUCGGAAUAACUCCCCGAAAGGGGUCCUAAUACCGGAUAAUGUCUUCGGACCAAAGAUUUAUCGCCUUUGGAUGGGCCCGCGUUGGAUUAGCUAGUUGGUAGGGUAAAAGCCUACCAAGGCGACGAUCCAUAGCUGGUCUGAGAGGAUGAUCAGCCACACUGGGACUGAGACACGGCCCAGACUCCUACGGGAGGCAGCAGUGGGGAAUAUUGGACAAUGGGCGAAAGCCUGAUCCAGCAAUGCCGCGUGAGUGAUGAAGGCCUUAGGGUUGUAAAGCUCUUUUACCCGGGAUGAUAAUGACAGUACCGGGAGAAUAAGCUCCGGCUAACUCCGUG